rnacentral:lncRNA from 1 species
GAUCUCACCACCAGAUGAGGUAAGAACUCUCAAGGGAGGGCAGGACUCUGACUCUAUGCUGUGCGUGAGUGGGGGACAACAAUUCCAGGGGUGGAUCAAACUCCUUCCCUCCCACUCUGUCACUUCCCUCUCCCUACUCUGGCACAUAUGGCCUGGUGCCUUAUCUCUUCCUUCUAAUCCAAUGCACUCAUGCCUGGCUCCACCCCUUGUUUGAGCAUUUCUGGGUGACCUCCCAUCCUCAGGAAGAGAAGACUAUUCCAGGGAUGCCAGCACUGAGGGAGUAGAACCUUGCCAGCAUGAGGAACACUCACAAUCCUCAUCCUCCCAGAUUCUCGUUGCACUCUGCCUCCGCGUGCGGUGCCAUGAGUACCUGUCUUGACCUUUGACGAGGGUGCCUCUACCUCCUAAUCCCCCAGAACCUGGCACCGUGCCUGCUGCACACUGGGAUGCAGUAGUGGCUCAGACGGACAAAUGAAAUGGGACCAGAUCCAAAGGUGUUCUGUAGUAAGGGUGCCGAGGGGGGCUGCUGGCACUGUCCCUUCCUGGUUUCUUCUCUUAUUUCCAGCCUCUAUUUUCACGCUUCCAACUGUGCCACGCCAUAUGACCUUUCUUAAUCUGUUCUCCCUGUUGAAAAGCACUAUUCUUACAAUCAUGAUCAAGCAACAAACUGACAAGCCUUGACUGAGCAUGCCUAGUCAUGGACCAGGUUAUGGCCGUGCUGGAGAGAGCUCCAAGUGCACCUCUUAGGGGAUCCUGGGGAAGAAGUGCAAUGACACAGGAGCCAGCAGUGACAUCACGAGAUGCAGGAGAGACCCAGAAGGGAAGAGUCAGCAAGGCUGGGUGGACUGUAGGCGUUUCGCAGCAGGUGGAAUUCCCACACUGUGACUGCACGCCCUCUGAUACACCCUUCUGCAGCGGUUUUGCCAAACUCAGCUCUUUGGACUCCGCCAUCUUCUACUGCAUUCAACUAAUUAUGACACC